rnacentral:rRNA from 1 species
CGCGACGCCGCGUGGGUGAAGAAGGCCUGCGGGUUGUAAAGCCCUUUCGGUGGGGAAGAAAAGCCUCGAGCUAACACCUCGGGGUCUUGACGUAACCCAUAGAAGAAGCACCGGCUAACUCUGUGCCAGCAGCCGCGGUAAUACAGAGGGUGCGAGCGUUAAUCGGAAUUACUGGGCGUAAAGCGCGCGUAGGCGGCUUUGCAAGUCGGGUGUGAAAUCCCCAGGCUUAACCUGGGAACUGCAUUCGAGACUGCAUUGCUAGAGUAUGGGAGAGGGAAGUGGAAUUUCCGGUGUAGCGGUGAAAUGCGUAGAUAUCGGAAGGAACAUCAGUGGCGAAAGCGACUUCCUGGACCAAUACUGACGCUCAUGUGCGAAAGCGUGGGGAGCAAACAGGAUUAGAUACCCUGGUAGUCCACGCCAUAAACGAUGACAACUGGAUGUCGGGAGGGUCUGCCUCUCGGUGUCGUAGCUAACGCGUUAAGUUGUCCGCCUGGGGAGUACGGCCGCAAGGUUG